UACGUAGGGGUCGAGCGUUGUCCGGAGUUACUGGGCGUAAAGCGUGUGCAGGCGGCUCAUUGCGCCCGGCGUGAAAGCCCCCGGCUCAACCGGGGAGAGUCGUCGGGGACGGGUGAGCUUGAGGGUAUCAGGGGCUGGUGGAAUUCCCGGUGUAGUGGUGAAAUGCGUAGAUAUCAGGAGGAACACCGAUGGCGAAGGCAGGUCUCUGGGCCACUACUGACGCUGAGAAGCGAAAGCAUGGGGAGCGAACAGG
rnacentral:rRNA from 1 species